rnacentral:rRNA from 1 species
UACAGAGGUCCCAAGCGUUGUUCGGAUUCACUGGGCGUAAAGGGCGCGUAGGUGGUUGCGCAAGUCUGAUGUGAAAUCUCCGGGCUCAACCCGGAAAUGGCAUUGGAAACUGCGGGGCUAGAGGGUUGGAGGGGGGACUGGAAUACUUGGUGUAGCAGUGAAAUGCGUAGAUAUCAAGUGGAACACCAGUGGCGAAGGCGAGUCCCUGGACAACAGCUGACACUGAGGCACGAAAGCUAGGGGAGCAAACAGG